UCGUGGCACCAACCGGGACUAAUGCCCCCCUUUAGUCCCGGUUGGUGGCACCAACCGGGACUGAAGGGGGGCAUUAGUCCCGGUUUGUGCCACGAA
rfam:Triticum aestivum genome assembly, contig: Triticum_aestivum_CS42_TGACv1_scaffold_289296_4AL